rnacentral:lncRNA from 1 species
GCGGGGGUUUCAGAAGCGGCCGGUCUGUGAAGCGGCAGGGGCACGGAAGCGGGCUUGAUACGCUAUUGUUGACAUUGCUGACAACGAAUCCGCUCCAGCGCCGAGUGGUCGUCUGCACAGUGUAGGCCACCUCACAGCUUCACCAUCAAGCUUUUGUUCUUCAAAUAAUUCAUACCAGCCCAGUUUCGUAUGUGUUGGGGAACAGCUGCUAGUUUGCAGGUUGCACUAGAGGUUGCGGUGUUCGGGCUGUGGUCAAGUUUUUGAGUCGAACUUCUUGUGUUUUCAGUUUUGCAAUCUCAAAAUGAAUAUGUUAAAGCAUUGACUGUUGUUUUAAUUUAAACUGUUUUGGUUUUUGUUGGUUUGAUGUUA